GUGGGUUUUCUUAUUAUUUUAUGUUAACAUAAUGGCUAUAUUUACAGUAUAGAAAAUUAUUCUGUUUUUAUAUUUUUUUCAUUAUUUUUUAUUAUAUAAUUUUUUUCAAUCAUUUCUAAAGUUUAUAAAAAUAAAUAUUUUUUUGUUUCGUAUUUUAAAUUUAUUAUAUACUUUCAGUGUUUUAUUAUUCAUACAUUAUUUAUAUUAUAUUAAUGUUUU
rnacentral:lncRNA from 1 species